rnacentral:miRNA from 1 species
GUGGGGUGGGUUGAAUAGAC